GGGGGCCCGCAAGCGGUGGAGCAUGUGGUUCAAUUCGACGCAACGCGAAGAACCUUACCUAGGCUCGAACGGCUGGUCAACGGCGGUGGAAACAUCGCUACCCCGCAAGGGGGUCCAGUCGAGGUGCUGCAUGGCUGUCGUCAGCUCGUGUCGUGAGAUGUUGGGUUAAGUCCCGCAACGGGCGCAACCCUUGUCCUGUGUUGCCAUCAUUCAGUUGGGAACUCGCAGGAGACCGCCAGGGAUAACCUGGAGGAAGGUGGGGAUGACGUCAAGUCCUCAUGGCCUUUAUGUCUAGGGCUACACACGAGCUACAAUGGACGGUACAAAGCGCAGCAAACCCGCGAGGGGGGGCCAAUCGCAAAAAACCGUUCUCAGUUCGGAUUGCAGGCUGCAACUCGCCUGCAUGAAGCUGGAAUCGCUAGUAAUGGCAGAUCAGCACGCUGCCGUGAAUACGUUCCCGGGCCUUGUACACACC
rnacentral:rRNA from 1 species